rnacentral:rRNA from 1 species
UACAGAGGGUGCAAGCGUUGUCCGGAAUUAUUGGGCGUAAAGAGCUCGUAGGCGGUUUGUCGCGUCUGCUGUGAAAACCCGAGGCUCAACCUCGGGCCUGCAGUGGGUACGGGCAGACUAGAGUGCGGUAGGGGAGAUUGGAAUUCCUGGUGUAGCGGUGGAAUGCGCAGAUAUCAGGAGGAACACCAAUGGCGAAGGCAAAUCUCUGGGCCGUAACUGACGCUGAGGAGCGAAAGCAUGGGGAGCGAACAGG